rnacentral:lncRNA from 1 species
UUUACAGACUAAAAGACUUGAUAUUUGAUCUAAAAAUGUUUAACUCUUCUGACACGGUCUUUUCAUUGGAUAAUUUAUUUUAUGAAAAACCAGAUGCAAAAAAAAGAGAGAGAGAUCUAGAAAAAGAAGAGUCAAACCUUUGGUAUAUUGCACCUGCUCCAGUUAUUGGUGAAAUUCCAGCAGCAGAAGAGUUACAGAGGGAACUGAAAAAAAAUGAGUUGCAGAGGAAGCUGGAAAAAAACACAGCCAGCAAUCAUAUGGGAGGGAUAAAGCACCAGAAGUUUAUACAACAAUGCAAGAGUAACACUGAGGAUGUAAAUGAUAAAUCUCCAGCAUCUGUUCAUUUUGGCAUAGUCUCUGAAAAAGAAAUGCUCCAACUAAGUGUAGGAGAAAGAGAGAAAAUAAAUUUUCAGCAUGAAAGUCUAGAAAUGGUUUCAUUGUUUCUCUCUCCUGACCAAGAUAAGUAUAAAAGAGGAACGGGGAUUUGUCAGCAACCUGAUGCAAAUUUUUCACAGAGUAAAAUCUUAAUUAAUAUUCCAGAAAAUGGUGAUGAUGAGAGUGCCCAUUCCACAUUAAGAAAAAGGUAUGCAUCUAGUCAAUUCUGAUAAAUCAUCAACUGUCGGAAUUGUAUUAUUGUUUUAGGUGUAUUUGUCAAAUGCAGAGGUUUUGAUCCUUCAGUACUUUAACAGGGCUCCAGACACUAAGUCUUUUCACCGUAAAGAAAAAAGAUGUUUGCUUUUGACAAUAUUGUAGUACUUUAAUAUAUGUCUCCUGAGUUCAACCUCUUUUACGAGAAAGGUAAGGAUGAGAUUUUUUAUAUAUAGAAAUUUUUAACAAAUCAAUAAAUAAUACAGGUUCUUCAAAAUACCAUUUGGAGUUCUUUAUGUACUUGGUAAAAAGCGAGAAGACUGAGAUCACGUGCUUUUCAGAGCAGAGGUCAGCCAACCAGGAAUACCUUGGGCAGUUCUCAGUGUGAUUUCAGUGCUGCCUGAAAGAUGCAUUUUACAGAUUAACUUCUCUUCUAUGCACAGCUCUUCUCGGUCUUCAGAACUUGUACUUCUCUAUUGUUUUUAAUUAUGCAGUGAUUGACAGUUAGUUAAUCUUCUAUUGGGAUUCAGAGCCCAUCUGGACAGGGAGUUCUUUUUUCUUCUUUUUUCUUCUUUUUUCUUCUUUUUUCUUCUUUUUUCUUCUUUUUUCUUCUUUUUUCUUCUUUUUUCUUCUUUUUUCUUCUUUUUUCUUCUUUUUUCUUCUUUUUUCUUCUUUUUUCUUCUUUUUUCUUCUUUUUUCUUCUUUUUUCUUCUUUUUUCUUCUUUUUUCUUCUUUUUUCUUCUUUUUUCUUCUUUUUUCUUCUUUUUUCUUCUUUUUUCUUCUUUUUUCUUCUAUGAAAGUAAAGUUAAAAUGUGUAUUGAAAGGAGUCUUCUUUGGGUAGAAGAGUGUCAGACAGAUCAACUAAAAUUACUUCCAAACUUUUCUUAUGAUUGUAUCUUACUGGUUGCGUUUCUUAUAUAAAUAUGUAUAUUUUUCAAAUAUUAGAGAAACUAUGUAGCAUACAACAAAGUAAUAAAGAUCCUGCAUCUUUUGCAGCUUAUUUAAACUGUCUGAUUGUAUGUAUAAAGAUACAAAAUUUAAAGAUAGUUCAGUGGAUAUGAAACAAGUUGAUACUUACCUUAAUACAAGUGAAAACAUGACAGAAGCGAGAAAAGAUGUGUGGAGAAUAAAUCAUCAUACUCCAAUAACUACAGACUCAGAUUUUACCCUACAUAGGGUAAAUGAUGGGAACAUUGCAUCUAAAAUAGGAUUUCAAAUAAAAUCACUUCCUAGUGCUUCAAGGAUUCUGGAUAAGACAGGUAAUUAUUAUUGCUCUGUUCAAAAAACAAAAAAACAAACAAACAAAAAAAAACACUCCACUGAUCAAGGUAAAGAGUGAAGAACCUUUUUCUGCCAGCUCAAAUUAAGGUAAUUGAUUAAAUAUAGAUAAAUGAUAUUACAGUUUUAAGGAACUUAAAUGUGUUGUUGCUUAAUAUGUGCUGUGUAAACAAUUUAUGAAGAAGAGUUACAUUUUCCAAAGCACUAAGUCUUGGACCUUUUUGAAAGUGUCACUCCAAGUCUGUUCCUGAACAAUUUGAAAAGGAGCAGCCUGGUCCCUCGAUACAGUGGAUAGUCUCAUCUACAUUAAAAAUUGAUUGUUUAUUAGUCAUGUUGCUCACACUUGUAUCUUUCUAGAUUAAAUAGGAAAAAUGGAGGAAAGUGGUGAGAAUUUUGAUUAAGUGAUAGAAUACUUUUUUUAGAAAUUCAGGCAGAAAAGUGUCUGGGGCCUGGCAAACAAAACGAAUGUGAGCCAGCAGCUGCCCCAGCAGUAAUGAAAGCCGAGAGUGUCCUGGUCUAUUCAGCUCUGAUAAAGCUGCACCUCACGAGCUGUGUUCAGUUUGCAUAACUUUUACUACACUUCUCAGAUGUCUAGGUACUGUAUUAAGAGGCAUUUUGGGCCUCUGGUACAAGCAAGACAUUCUGAAACUGGAAUGAGUUCAACAAAGGGCCACCAACAUGGUCCUUUCAAAUAACAAACCUAUGUCCUUCCUGUCCUGUCAGCUCCUUUAUCAUCUCUGCUUUGCUGCAGCCUUGUAGCUCCUCACAGAAUGCACAGCUUAGAGUUCGGAAGAUAUUUUUCAUGGAUAUUGGUUGAGAACAGUGAAAUCUAUUUUUAUAAACUUUACUUUCUUUUAGGAACAACAGGAAGAAAUUUGGAAAUGUUGAGGGCUGUUACAGAAAUACGUAUCCUUUUAUUUGCUGUAUCUGAUUUAUUGAAUUUAUUACCAUGACUCUUACAUUUACAAAAUUAUAGUGGUUAGUUUGUAGCCAUAAGAACUCAUGCAUUAUACUGUAAUAGUUUUGAAUUGUAACGUAAUGCUGGGAGUUGAAUGGGAAUUUAUGCCUGGGACCUCCAAAGCUAGAAUGAAAAUAGAAUAACUUAUAAAUAGAUCAUUCAUCACCAAGCAAACUUAUUCUUAUUUCAAACAUGUACAUUUUAUCCUCAAAAUUACUUAUUUUUAAAAUGUAAAAUUUAAAAUUUUUAGUUUGGUAAGAAUUGACAUAAUUUCCAGAACAAGUAAGAACUCAGUUGUUCUGAUGUUGCCAAUUGCAGAUAAAGCUCCUCGUUUUGAAAAUGGGUCAUUUAUUUAGAGGGAUAAUUUUAGAGAAGCCUUUUUAAAAAAUCCUUGCUCACCUUUACUUUUUUUCUGGUUUUAUUUCAUUAUUUUCUUGUAUUACUCUUUUUUUUUUUUUUUUUUGAGUCAUUUAAAAUGAAUAGAACAACUUUUUAAGGCCUCAGCUGUUCAUUGUUUUUGUGACUGUUGGUGUUACAUCCGACUGUGUUUGCAUCCAUAGACUGAUUGGAUGGUUGCGAUUAGUCUGCUUGUGUGGCUUCCGUGCAAGUCCAGACAAGGAUCAUCUCAUUUGUUUGGAUCGUAAGGAAACAAUGCUCUCUUUACUCUUACUUGUAUUUUAGAUAAAAAUGCUUUUGUCUGGAAAAUAUGGAAAAUACACAAUAUUUGCAGUUGAAAAUACCUUUAAUAGCAC